rnacentral:ncRNA from 1 species
ACAAUUGAAAAAUAAAAAAGAUGAGUAUUCUUUGAUUUGGUCAAAGAGAACUGUUAUAAGGCUGAAAGGCAGUCGAAAGUCAAAGAAGAAUAUGGUCUUUUUAUCAAAUGGUCUGGUGAGCUUUUAGCAAGCCAGUCUCGGUCUGUCCGUUAUCGCAGUUAUGAGUGGAUACUUUUUUGUAUUAAUUAAGGUGGUACCACGGCAAAUGUCGUCCUUUAU